CGGUUGCCGGUGUAGGGCACUGAGGGGAGACGGCAGGAGCCGGGAGGCUGAGUGCUCUCCCAACAAAACAGCCUUCAGAGGUUUGUUUAAGCUCGCUUAGUAAUUAGCUUCUUUUAGAGAAGGAAAGCAGUGGAUGCUGAAUGUUGUGCGUAUGAACAGAGGGCAAAUAGCUGCGACAGACCAAGACUUUUUGCAAGUCUCUAACAGGAGGGUAUAGCCGGGUAGGGAUCAGCCUCUUCUCACAGGACGAGAGUAAACGGUAUUAAGAUGCGGCAGAGGAGGCUUAGAUUGAAUAUCACGAAGAAUUUCUUCACAGAAGGAGUGAUUACACAUUGGAGUGUGCUGCCCAGGGAGGUGGUGGAGUCAUUGUCCCUGGAGGUAUUUAAGGAAAGAUUGGAGGUGGCACUUAGUGCCAUGGUCUGGUUGACAUGGUGGUUUUCACUCAAAGAUUGGACUCGAUGAUCUCAGAGGGUUUUUCCAACAUAAUCAAUUCUGUGAUCACGAACCCAAAGUCUUGCAUGGCACAAACCAGGGCCCGAGAGCAGGAGUGUGGGAACGCUGAGGGAAACAGUACUCGUCCUUCACAUGAGCAAACUCUUCUUCUGCUCUCUCCUUUAAGAAAUAGCCAAAGAGCUUAAAAUUGUGUUGGUGCCUCUCACCAGACUUCACAGCAGCAUCUGUCUACCUAGGAGCACCUGAGGGCGCUGAGGCAUCAGUUGCAUCUUCACACCAGUGGAUCAGGCUGCUACAACCAACCCCAUUUCACUACUGGAACAUCUUCCAGCUGGACAGCAAACCCCAGCCUCAGGAAAACUGUGACUGUGCCAGAAUUUCCGCCUAUCUCACUGUGAUUAAUAGACCUCAGACUGCAAGGAGGGAGUAUUGACAUCAUAAAUAACACAAUUCAUAAGGAAGGUUAAUUUUCAGACUAUCCAGAAGCAAUCUACAGACCCCUAAAAGUCAUAGGCAGGCUGAAAAUGAAGAUAGUUCUCCCAACACUGCCAGCAAAAUAACUUACAGAGCAGUGUUUUCCUUAGAGAGCUCACACGUAAGUGCCUAACCAGCCUAAGACUCUUAAAGUAAUCAUCUUAUCAGCCCUUACUACUUAUUACUAUGUCAUCCUGUGCCCUUAAAGAAAGACAAAAAUAGACUGUUGAAGGAUUUAUGAUGAAGCCACUCCUGUUCUCAUAAACUUGUAUCUGGGCCUAGGUGAAUGAUUUUCUGCAUGCUGGGAAAAGGAAAGAAUUAAUAAUAAAUUAGAAGAAUAUGAGGAGACCAAAUAAUAGAUUUUUUUAUCUGGAUAAUGAGCAUAGCAGAGAAACUGAUUGGAAAGUAAUUUGCUAAGUGAUACAAGCAGAAAGACAUUCAGGAAGAUGGAAUGGAAAUAUCUCGGGGAACAUCUGGCAAAUUAAAGAAUUCCAGUUAGGUUUACAAGAAAACAAGGAAAUCCAUGCCAGAUUGAGGAAAGAAGCAUUUAAAAUCGCUUGGAAUCCUGAUGGCUUCUCAAAUAACCCGUCAGCUCAGAACAUUGUGAUUCUCAGAGCAGCAGUGUGAUAGGAGUAGAUCCUCGUGGAGAUAACCACCCACUGAGAGCACCAUGUGCCACAGCAGCCAGGAUUGCACAAGACAUGAGUGGUUUUCAUCUGUGUUCUUAGAGUAUAACUCUUCAGGUUUAGAAGUAACAACAGAAGAAACUGUUUCCAGGACAAUUAUCCUGGUUUAUAUUUAGCCUGGAUUGACCUAUUUCAGCCUGCAGUUAUAUGCACACCCGUCUACCUGGCCUCAUCUUCCCUGUGAGCUGCUGAGUGUUCCUGCAGUCACAGAAUGCAACGUGCAUGGAAGAACCUCUGAUGAGAGACAGCACAUAGAGAUUUUUAUGUCUGGUUCAAUAGGAAAUAAAAAAAAUCAGUGAGCCUGUUUGAUUAUUGGUGUAUUUCCAGACAGCUCUCCCCCCACUCUGGCAACCUCCCUGGUUUUGAAUAUGUGGUGUCGUUUGCAGGUAUCCUUUGGAAGAGGCAAAAAGACUUACAUCAAGCACAAAUAUCUUAAAUCACCCAGAAAACGCUAUCAAGUAAAAUUAAGAGACAACAAAUACAUCU